ACGGAGAGGGAAACCCCCCCGCCGCCCCCGCCGGAGUCGGGAAAAACGGAAAAAUCAAGCAGAUCACCUUGAGCUGGGAAAAAAAAAACACCGGGAAGAGGGGAGUGGGGGGGUGCUUUAACUCCUCAGCAGCCGGAGCGUGGAGGCCGUGCCGGGAAGCAGCCAUCUCCGGAGCCGUGUCCAGGCAGGAGCAUGCAUCCCAGGAUGCGGCGUGGCCUGUGGGAAUCCCCCUGUCUCCUCCAACUGCCCUCUCCGCUCUGGGCUGGUUAUCCCGGCCGGCGGGUGCUGCCGCAGGGAUAAUUAAGGAGCGAACCGAGCGACCCCUCGGCRAGCCCUUAAAACGGCUUUUCUCAUGGAAAAACCCCCUUCCCGCGGAGCACUGGCGGACACCACGCUUUUCACGGCAAAGAGCCGGUUCGCCGCCCRGCUCCGAAAUGCCAAGGUGCCUCCGCUGGUCCCGAAAAACCAGCCGCUCYGCUCCCAUCCACCCGGAAUUGGCUAUUCGGCCCCCGAAGCCGGGUCGGAGCGGGGAAGGCAGCGGAGCCGGGGCGGCGUUCCCGCGGGAGCGGCGUCCCCCCCACAGGCAGCCACCUGCCGGGAGCCGCGGCCCAAAACGCAGCCGGGAAGCGGCGGGAAGUUUGGGAGCGGGCGGCGAGCGGCGGCUUCCUUCUCCGAACAAAGACGGAUCGACGGCGGCGCUGCCGGGCGUUUGGGGGCCAAAGGGGUGCGCUGGGCGCCCGCCGGGAAAAGGGGCGGCGCGGAUCCGGCUCGGCUCGGCACCGCUCGCCGGCGUUCCGGAGGGGGGAACCGGCUCCGCGGCGGCACCUGCGCUGGCUCCGAGCCCCCCGGCAGGGCGGGCUGUGCCGGGCCGUGCUGUGCCGAACCGUGCCGUAGAGGGCUGUACUGUGCCGUACUGGGCUAUACUGUGCCAUACCGGGCUAUACCGUGCUGUGCCGUACUGGGCUAUACUGGGCUAUACCGUGCCAUACUGGGCUAUACUGUGCUGUGCCAUACUGGGCUAUACUGUGCUAUACCAACCUAUAUCAUGCCAUACUGUGCCAUACCGGGCUAUACUGUGCUAUACCAACUUAUAUCAUGCCAUACUGUGCCAUACCGGGCUAAACUGUACUGUGCCGUACCAGGCUAUACUGUGCUAUAGCAACCUACACCAUGCCAUACCGGGCUAUAUUGUACUGUGCCAUACUGGGCUAUACUGUACUGUGCCAUACCGGGCUAUACUGUGCUAUAGCAGCCUAUACCGUGCCAUACUGUGCCAUACGGGGCUAUAACUAUGCCGUACCAAGCUAUAACCAUGCUGUAUCAUGCCAUACGG
rnacentral:lncRNA from 1 species